rnacentral:rRNA from 1 species
CUGCAUGAAGCUGGAAUCGCUAGUAAUCGCGGAUCAGAAUGCCGCGGUGAAUACGUUCCCGGGUCUUGUACACACCGCCCGUCACACCAUGGGAGUCAGUAACGCCCGAAGUCAGUGACCGAACCGAGAGGACGGAGCUGCCGAAGGCGGGACGGAUAACUGGGGUGAAGUCGUAACAAGGUAUC